rnacentral:rRNA from 1 species
UACGGAGGUGGCAAGCGUUGCUCGGAUUUACUGGGUGUAAAGGGCACGUAGGCGGUCCUAUAAGCUCUGCCUGAAAGGCUCUCGCUCAACGAGAGCAUGCGGUGGAGGACUGCAGGACUUGAGGGUGGAAGAGGCGAACGGAAUUCCCGGUGUAAGGGUGACAUCUGUAGAUAUCGGGAGGAACACCAGUGGCGAAGGCGGUUCGCUGGUCCACUUCUGACGCUGAGGUGCGAAAGCUAGGGGAGCAAACAGGAUUAGAUACCCCAGUAGU